rnacentral:rRNA from 1 species
GAUGAACGCUGGCGGCGUGCCUAAUACAUGCAAGUCGAGCGAACAGACGAGGAGCUUGCGCCUCUGACGUUAGCGGCGGACGGGUGAGUAACACGUGGAUAACCUACCUAUAAGACUGGGAUAACUUCGGGAAACCGGAGCUAAUACCGGAUAAUAUAUUGAACCGCAUGGUGCAAUAGUGAAAGACGGUUUUGCUGUCACGUAUAGAUGGAUCCGCGCCGUAUUAGCUAGUUGGUAAGGUAAAGGCCUACCAAGGCGACUAGGCGUAUCCGAACUCAGAGGGUGGUCGGCCACCCUGGAACGUGACCACCGUCCAGGCUCCUACGGGAGGCCGCAGUCGGCAACCUUCCGCAAUGGGCGAAAGCCUGACGGAGCAACGCCGCGUGAGUGAUGAAGGUCUUCGGAUCGUAAAACUCUGUUAUUAGGGAAGAACAAAUGUGUAAGUAACUAUGCACGUCUUGACGGUACCUAAUCAGAAAGCCACGGCUAACUACGUG